UACGGAGGGUGCAAGCGUUGUCCGGAUUUAUUGGGCUUAAAGGGCGCGUAGGCGGUUAAUUAAGUCAGUGGUGAAAUCCUGGAGCUCAACUUCAGAACUGCCAUUGAUACUGGUUGACUUGAGUACAGACGAGGUUGGCGGAAUUGAUGGUGUAGCGGUGAAAUGCAUAGAUACCAUCAAGAACACCGAUUGCGAAGGCAGCUAACUAGGCUGUAACUGACGCUGAGGCACGAAAGUGUGGGGAUCAAACAGG
rnacentral:rRNA from 1 species